CCCUGUGCUCCCUUUCAUCCCUUCUGAAAAUAACAAGAUGGAAACCUGAGCUGUCGGCACCGGGGACCUGCCAGAUUCCAGCGUGCGUAUGACCAAGAGAGGGACUGGCCAGCCUGAAGUUAAGUACUUGGACCCUACCCACCCUCAGAGGCUGAGUCUUCAUCGGUCUAGGCCGAUUGCGGUGGGCUCACCUCACCUCGGGAUUGUCGAAGCAUGGAUAGACCGUGCCGAUUCUGGCCAGUGGGACAUAGGGGACAACCGAUGGAGUGACACAAGACGGGGGCCUUCUCUUUUCUCUUUCUGAGGAUGGUUUUUGGCACAUGAGGCCUGACUACAGCAGAUCUUGGGACUGUGGAAGAAAGCUGCAGAGUCGCUAAUCUAGAAGCAUGAUGUUUCUGUGUCAGUGAAUUAACCCACUCCAAAACUCUCCUACCUCCAAACUGUAUAUGAUGCAAAGUAAUAAACAUCCUUACGCUGUAGGGCCCCAGUGGUUAGAUCUCCUACCCCUUGCUGGCAUCUUACAUAGCCUCUGUUUGGAAAGGGGAAGCUGAGGUUGGUCGGGCAAGUCAAAACAAAAAGCACCUUCUCUUCUAACAUGUGAUGGGAAAGGAAGCAGCCAUGUUUGACUGGUAGUUCUGGAAGACUCUCAGGGAGUCUUCUCUGCUCAUCCUCUCCAAAGAGCUGGUACUGGUGGGAAACCUACUUCCUAAGGUUGAGCCAGUUCAAAAAGAGAAGACACCCAAGGGACAGCAGAGAAGGUUUUCUCACAUCCGACAGGAGGCAGAAAUUUUUGUCCACACUUCCUGCACACCAAGAAGAGACUCCAGCCACGUGUUAACUAUUCCUGGCUAUUUUUGCACAAACGUGAUCUCCAAGUGUGACCCUCAUCUUGCCAAGUCAAAACAGAGAGGCCUGCAGCUUAUCCAGAUUAGCUAUAGAAGAUGCGUUCGCUCCAGUUUUAUUCAACUCCAAGGCCGACAACACAUUUCGAGUUUGGAAAGCCAUCCGAUGAAUUUGCCUGAUGAAGUGUUGCCGAAAUUACAUGAUUAAAAACAGAGUGUAAUGAAACUCUUUCAUGUUGGAAACGGAAAGCCACUUGACAUUAAUUUUUCCCCAAUUAAUCAUCUUCCUUUUCCCACAGGGCUAUCUGUGCCGGGGCUGAGGGGAGGUAGGAGUGCCGAGUCCUUGGCACCGCUGGCUGCCUCCCACUUGGCAGCCACGAGCCACACUCUGCCUUGCGGAUGGAAAGGACUGGGUUCAGGGGUGG